UCCUGUCAAGCACAGAGGUAUAGUGGAAGUAAAACCACAUAAAUGUCCAGGCUUGAAAAAGUUGUUAAAAGCUCUUCCUGGGACACUCCCACUCCUACAGUGUGAACAAACCUGCCAGAAACAGAUUGUGACAUGAAAUUGCACCAACAGGAGUUGGUGAGAUUUACUACAGAAGACAGAAUUGCUAAUGAAUGGUGCACUGCCAGGAACACUUCCAUAAAUAUAUUUUAAUCUCUUCAGGAGGAGAAGCUUUUGGAGAGAAGGGAAGCCGAUGGUUCAGGCAUCGGAUCAUUGUAUCCUUCAGCCAAGAUCAACCCACCAUGAUUCCUUUUGGUGAACAGCGAAGGGCCUGAGGAAUUCAAGACAAGGAAAGACACCUCAUGUGAUUACUGAAGAAAGGAAGAAUUCACCUCUUCUAAAAGAGUUAAACCAAGUCCUGGAUACCUGCAGGUAGAUUAUAUGAGUGGUUGACUGUCCUGAGCUUGCCUUUCCCAGAGCCCUAACAGCUGGCCCAGCACGAGUCUCCUGUGCAUCCAAGGCUGUUAGCCAACAGCCUCCCUUGCUUACAGUGCAUGUCCUUAUAA
rnacentral:lncRNA from 1 species